GGGAAACAGCACAUUCUGCGAGACUAGUGGAGGCCUAUUGGAGUUGCAGUGUCCUCUCGUGUCUUUGCCCUGGCGUAUGCAUUGACCUGAUCACUGACCGUAUAACAACCUCACGACCAUCAGGCGGCUGACAAAGUCGGGAAAGGUGAACCUCUACCCGGAACCAAGAAAGGGACUUCCCGAGCCCUUCCAGCAAGGACUUCCCAGCUUUCCUAGCACCAAGCCCCUGACUCAACCCCCCAACCACAACCAUGUUAUUACUUUGACCACAUUUUGGUUUUGGAUAUAGCUGAAGUUCCCAGGUCAACGCCCACGUUCCUUGUUUUUUUGUUUGUUGGCUUCAAUUAGUUUUGUGCAUCUCUGAUUUCUCACUUGCUGGUCAGCCUUUUCUUCAUGUGCAGCACAAUACUGAGAACACAUACACAUCCACUCAGAGGUUGUUGUGGUUAUUCAAAAUAACCUGAUUCUGAGAAAUAUAUAUUUUUUACUAUCUUUGAGGGGAGCCGGAUUGUUAUUCUAGUAAUUUUUAAAGCAGACAGAAAAUAACCUUUCUGUGUUGUUUCUGAGAAUAUUUUUUUAAGUACAGUUUUCACACAUCACCGCA